ACACUUACAUCGCACAGGAGUGACUUUGAUCAAGAAGGAAGUCCUCCCAGGCAGAGGCCUCAGCAUUGCACAUUCGGCUGAGGUUGACCCCUGCGAUUCCACUAAUGUUGGGAACGGGUGUGUAAUUUAUGGUAGCGGGGAUUGCAUUCGUGCUAACCCCCA
rnacentral:snRNA from 1 species